rnacentral:misc_RNA from 1 species
UUCCUCAGAGUGAAAGGCUUGAAAA